rnacentral:rRNA from 1 species
AAUGAACGCUGGCGGCAUGCCUAACACAUGCAAGUCGAACGAAGUCUUCGGACUUAGUGGCGCACGGGUGCGUAACGCAUGGGAAUCUGCCCUUGGGUACGGAAUAACUCAGAGAAAUUUGUGCUAAUACCGUAUAAUGUCUUCGGACCAAAGAUUUAUCGCCCAAGGAUGAGCCCGCGUAGGAUUAGGUAGUUGGUGAGGUAAAAGCUCACCAAGCCGACGAUCCUUAGCUGGUCUGAGAGGAUGAUCAGCCACACUGGGACUGAGACACGGCCCAGACUCCUACGGGAGGCAGCAGUGGGGAAUAUUGGACAAUGGGCGCAAGCCUGAUCCAGCAAUGCCGCGUGAGUGAUGAAGGCCUUAGGGUUGUAAAGCUCUUUUACCCGGGAUGAUAAUGACAGUACCGGGAGAAUAAGCUCCGGCUAACUUCGUG